AUAGGAGAUAAACUGCUUUGCUUAUCACAGUUUGACCAAGUUUUGUGUGCAGACAACUGUAUUAUUGUCUAGUGUUGCCAAACAAAUACAGUUUAAUUGGAUUAGAGCGACAAUGGGCGUCAAGAUUUAUUUUAGUUCAACGUCUGCAGAUAUGGAGGUCAAACAACGACAAAACCGGGUAUUUCAAAUCCUAGAUUCAAAAAAUGUGAAAUACCAAGCUAUAGACAUUACUCAAGAUGAACACAAGACUGAAAAAGAAUUCAUGCAAAAUAAUACGAAAAAUUUAGGAGCCACAUCAAUGGAACCAAGUCCCAAACAUCCGCUUCCGCCACAAAUUUUCAAUGAUGGCGACUAUUGUGGAGACUAUGAGCAAUUUGAAAUAGCGAACGAAAACAGUGAACUAAAAGAAUUUUUAAAACUCAGUUCCUGAAGGACGAAUAAUCGAGCGAAUAAUAUAGGAUGUGUAAUAUCAAAGUGUAUCUUUGUCAGAAAUAAACAUGUAACUUACCUGGUUAUAAAAUAAAUAAUUACAAAACA